CAUUUUGUUUUUGGCUUAAGUAACUAAAACGUUUCCGAACUUGGCACGAAUUGCAACCUUCGUCCCCAAACUAUUGUUGCACUUCAAGACACCCCUAGACUUGGCAAAAUGGGUUUUAAUUAUUCCCCGAGCUGCCACAUGGCAUAGUGAGUGUAGUCACAAGCCAAGAGGCGCGUGACUGGUGCCACAUCAGCAUAAAAACGAUGUGGAUUUCCGGCGGUGGUGAGGAUUUCAUGGUCCGAUGACAAUCCGGGAAGGAGAUUUUGGGGUUGUCAAAAUUACAAGGUGAAAGGUCGAAGUUCUUGCAAAUUUUUCGAUUGGUAUGAACCACCAUUUCCGGAGCAAGCUAAUGUUGUUAUUUGGGGUUUGUUGAAGAAGAAAAACAAAUAUGAGCAAGAAUUGAAGUGGUCAAAAACAUUGAAGAUUUGUCUAUGUAUUAGUGUCCUAUUUAAUUUGAUGUUUUAUCUUGGUUUUGGUAGUAGUACUAAUUAGGUUGAAGUGAAGUUGUACUUAGAUGAUUAACAAUGGUUGUAGUACUAAUUAGGUUGAAGUGAAGUUCUAUUUAGAUGAUUAACAAUGUAAUCUAAUUUUGGUUAGCAUAUUGAAUAUGAUUAUGAUGA